rnacentral:rRNA from 1 species
GGGUUGUGAGGUUAAGCGACUAAGCGUACACGGUGGAUGCCCUGGCAGUCAGAGGCGAUGAAGGACGUGCUAAUCUGCGAUAAGCGUCGGUAAGGUGAUAUGAACCGUUAUAACCGGCGAUUUCCGAAUGGGGAAACCCAGUGUGAUUCAUCACACUAUCAUUAACUGAAUCCAUAGGUUAAUGAGGCGAACCGGGGGAACUGAAACAUCUAAGUACCCCGAGGAAAAGAAAUCAACCGAGAUUCCCCCAGUAGCGGCGAGCGAACGGGGAGGAGCCCAGAGCCUGAAUCAGUGUGUGUGUUAGUGGAAGCGUCUGGAAAGGCGCGCGAUACAGGGUGACAGCCCCGUACACAAAAAUGCACAUACUGUGAGCUCGAUGAGUAGGGCGGGACACGUGGUAUCCUGUCUGAAUAUGGGGGGACCAUCCUCCAAGGCUAAAUACUCCUGACUGACCGAUAGUGAACCAGUACCGUGAGGGAAAGGCGAAAAGAACCCCGGCGAGGGGAGUGAAAAAGAACCUGAAACCGUGUACGUACAAGCAGUGGGAGCCUCUUUAUGGGGUGACUGCGUACCUUUUGUAUAAUGGGUCAGCGACUUAUAUUCUGUAGCAAGGUUAACCGAAUAGGGGAGCCGAAGGGAAACCGAGUCUUAACUGGGCGUUAAGUUGCAGGGUAUAGACCCGAAACCCGGUGAUCUAGCCAUGGGCAGGUUGAAGGUUGGGUAACACUAACUGGAGGACCGAACCGACUAAUGUUGAAAAAUUAGCGGAUGACUUGUGGCUGGGGGUGAAAGGCCAAUCAAACCGGGAGAUAGCUGGUUCUCCCCGAAAGCUAUUUAGGUAGCGCCUCGUGAAUUCAUCUCCGGGGGUAGAGCACUGUUUCGGCAAGGGGGUCAUCCCGACUUACCAACCCGAUGCAAACUGCGAAUACCGGAGAAUGUUAUCACGGGAGACACACGGCGGGUGCUAACGUCCGUCGUGAAGAGGGAAACAACCCAGACCGCCAGCUAAGGUCCCAAAGUCAUGGUUAAGUGGGAAACGAUGUGGGAAGGCCCAGACAGCCAGGAUGUUGGCUUAGAAGCAGCCAUCAUUUAAAGAAAGCGUAAUAGCUCACUGGUCGAGUCGGCCUGCGCGGAAGAUGUAACGGGGCUAAACCAUGCACCGAAGCUGCGGCAGCGACACUAUGUGUUGUUGGGUAGGGGAGCGUUCUGUAAGCCUGUGAAGGUGUACUGUGAGGUAUGCUGGAGGUAUCAGAAGUGCGAAUGCUGACAUAAGUAACGAUAAAGCGGGUGAAAAGCCCGCUCGCCGGAAGACCAAGGGUUCCUGUCCAACGUUAAUCGGGGCAGGGUGAGUCGACCCCUAAGGCGAGGCCGAAAGGCGUAGUCGAUGGGAAACAGGUUAAUAUUCCUGUACUUGGUGUUACUGCGAAGGGGGGACGGAGAAGGCUAUGUUGGCCGGGCGACGGUUGUCCCGGUUUAAGCGUGUAGGCUGGUUUUCCAGGCAAAUCCGGAAAAUCAAGGCUGAGGCGUGAUGACGAGGCACUACGGUGCUGAAGCAACAAAUGCCCUGCUUCCAGGAAAAGCCUCUAAGCAUCAGGUAACAUCAAAUCGUACCCCAAACCGACACAGGUGGUCAGGUAGAGAAUACCAAGGCGCUUGAGAGAACUCGGGUGAAGGAACUAGGCAAAAUGGUGCCGUAACUUCGGGAGAAGGCACGCUGAUAUGUAGGUGAAGCGACUUGCUCGUGGAGCUGAAAUCAGUCGAAGAUACCAGCUGGCUGCAACUGUUUAUUAAAAACACAGCACUGUGCAAACACGAAAGUGGACGUAUACGGUGUGACGCCUGCCCGGUGCCGGAAGGUUAAUUGAUGGGGUUAGCGGUAACGCGAAGCUCUUGAUCGAAGCCCCGGUAAACGGCGGCCGUAACUAUAACGGUCCUAAGGUAGCGAAAUUCCUUGUCGGGUAAGUUCCGACCUGCACGAAUGGCGUAAUGAUGGCCAGGCUGUCUCCACCCGAGACUCAGUGAAAUUGAACUCGCUGUGAAGAUGCAGUGUACCCGCGGCAAGACGGAAAGACCCCGUGAACCUUUACUAUAGCUUGACACUGAACAUUGAGCCUUGAUGUGUAGGAUAGGUGGGAGGCUUUGAAGUGUGGACGCCAGUCUGCAUGGAGCCGGCCUUGAAAUACCACCCUUUAAUGUUUGAUGUUCUAACGUUGGCCCGUAAUCCGGGUUGCGGACAGUGUCUGGUGGGUAGUUUGACUGGGGCGGUCUCCUCCUAAAGAGUAACGGAGGAGCACGAAGGUUGGCUAAUCCUGGUCGGACAUCAGGAGGUUAGUGCAAUGGCAUAAGCCAGCUUGACUGCGAGCGUGACGGCGCGAGCAGGUGCGAAAGCAGGUCAUAGUGAUCCGGUGGUUCUGAAUGGAAGGGCCAUCGCUCAACGGAUAAAAGGUACUCCGGGGAUAACAGGCUGAUACCGCCCAAGAGUUCAUAUCGACGGCGGUGUUUGGCACCUCGAUGUCGGCUCAUCACAUCCUGGGGCUGAAGUAGGUCCCAAGGGUAUGGCUGUUCGCCAUUUAAAGUGGUACGCGAGCUGGGUUUAGAACGUCGUGAGACAGUUCGGUCCCUAUCUGCCGUGGGCGCUGGAGAACUGAGGGGGCUGCUCCUAGUACGAGAGGACCGGAGUGGACGCAUCACUGGUGUUCGGGUUGUCAUGCCAAUGGCACUGCCCGGUAGCUAAAUGCGGAAGAGAUAAGUGCUGAAAGCAUCUAAGCACGAAACUUGCCCCGAGAUGAGUUCUCCCUGACUCCUUGAGAGUCCUGAAGGAACGUUGAAGACGACGACGUUGAUAGGCCGGGUGUGUAAGCGCAGCGAUGCGUUGAGCUAACCGGUACUAAUGAACCGUGAGGCUUAACCUUACAACGCCGAAGGUGUUU